GAUGAACGUUGGCGGCGUGCCUAAUACAUGCAAGUCGAACGAAGACUGUAGUAAUACUGUCUUAGUGGCGAACGGGUGAGUAACGCGUGGGUGACCUGCCCCGAAGUGUGGGAUAACAGUCCGAAAGGAUUGCUAAUACUGCAUAAUAUCCAAGAGAUUAGAUGCUUUUUGGAUUAAAGGAGUAAUUCGCUUCGGGAGGGGCCCGCGUCCCAUCAGCUAGUUGGUAAGGUAAUGGCUUACCAAGGCGAUGACGGGUAGGGGACCUGAGAGGGUGGCCCCCCAAAUGGAACUGAAACACGGUCCAUACACCUACGGGUGGCAGCAGUAGGGAAUAUUAGUAAUGGGCGAAAGCCUGAACUAGCAACGCCGCGUGUGCGAAGAAGGCCUUCGGGUCGUAAAGCAACUUUUUGAGAGGAUGAGGAAGGACGGUACUCUCAGAAUAAGUCUCGGCUAACUACGUGCCAGCCAGCCGCGGUAAGAUCACGUGUAA
rnacentral:rRNA from 1 species